GACGAACGCUGGCGGCGUGCUUAACACAUGCAAGUCGAACGGAAAGGCCCUGCUUUUGUGGGGUGCUCGAGUGGCGAACGGGUGAGUAACACGUGAGUAACCUGCCCUUGACUUUGGGAUAACUUCAGGAAACUGGGGCUAAUACCGGAUAGGAGCUCCUGCUGCAUGGUGGGGGUUGGAAAGUUUCGGCGGUUGGGGAUGGACUCGCGGCUUAUCAGCUUGUUGGUGGGGUAGUGGCUUACCAAGGCUUUGACGGGUAGCCGGCCUGAGAGGGUGACCGGCCACAUUGGGACUGAGCUACGGCCCAGACUCCUCCGGGAGGCAGCAGUGGGGACUAUUGCACAAUGGGCGGAAGCCUGAUGCAGCAACGCCGCGUGCGGGAUGACGGCCUUCGGGUUGUAAACCGCUUUCGCCUGUGACGAAGCGUGAGUGACGGUAAUGGGUAAAGAAGCACCGGCUAACUACGU
rnacentral:rRNA from 1 species